UUAAAGGAUUUGGAACAACAUGAGGUGUCUAUGUGUGUAGAUUUGGAGCCUCAGUGUUUUGUGACUCUUGAAAACCAGGUCAGCUCAUGCCUCCCGUGAACAACUUAUUAGGUGCUUUAAAGGUUUGUCUGCCAAGUCGAAGCAGACAUGGACAGAUGAAGAUAUUGCCCGCCGAAACACUCCUCCUUGGUGAACAGCUGCUGUUGCAAUAGAAGACAAAUUGAAAUCAGAUCAGAAAGACGAGCAAAGAAGAGAAUGGUAAGUAUGUUUUAAUCAUAUCAAUGAAUCUCACGUUUAAUUCUGGCUGACAUAUUUCCUAAUAAAGUGGCUGUUGGGACUCUGAGUGUCAUGCUAACUUUGGAUUCAGCACUUCUGGUGUAGAGAUGUUAGGCCUCUUCUAACCUUAUGUUCAAUGUAACACAGAAUAUUGGAUGGUGACGACAUAAAAACAGAUGCUCAUGUCAAGCUUGAUGAGGAUUUAGUCCAAGCUUUGAAAGACCCUGUGAUGAAGAAAUUUUCAAAUACCACAGUGUCUGAAUUGCAAGCCCUCAGAUGCAGGAAAUGCAACAAGUCAUACUCAAAGAAAAGUGAUCCUCCACUUGAAGAUGAAGAUGGUGACAAUUGAAAUGUUUGGUUUCUUUGUUUGGUUUAGCCAUUUGCAGGUUUAACUUGAGUUUGAGAAACAAACAAAGAAAAUGCACUUUAUUCACUUCUGUGCUUUGUUGUUUUUCUGUAACUUCUUUGUGUGUGCAGAAAAUUGCAUUGUGAUUCAUUUUUAUUCAGUGAUGGAAUAUUCAUAGUGUACUUUCCAGUAAUAUAGGUAUGACAGAAAUGUUCUACAAAUUGAAUGAAGUAGUUGUGUUAUAGCAUUUCGCUGAUAUUUAUUUUCAUUUAUUAUCAAUCAAUCAAUCA